UAAAAAUAAUACAGUCUUGUUUUCCACACCGAUUGAUCAAAACUGAACCAGUUUCACCACAUAGUAAUACAAAGCAAUUUAUCUACAUUUAUAAACUUUGUUGGUGACACAAAUGAAUCAUUGAAUGGCUUCACUGAAAUGGACAGUUUGAACUGAUUCAUAAAAAUGAAUUGAAUCUAUCAACUCUAAUGCUAAUACUUGCAAGUCAUAAUACAAGGAGGGACUGCGACUUAACGAUAAAAUUGAAAGUGCCCUGAAAUAAUUGAUAAUCAUACUGUUGAUUCAUUUUAUACAGUGUGAAUAUUUCAUAUACGUUUCUCCCAGAGCUAAUUUGCAACUUCAUCAUAUAUUUUGUUGAGUUCUGACACAAAACGAAGAACACAAGAGCAAGCGAGAGACGAUUUGUUGAUAAAAGGCAAGCGCUGAAGGGCCCUCAGUAAUGGCCUUGAACGUUUGCCGGUUUGUGAACAUCUUUUGUCGUCACUCUGCUAUGAGCAGCUUGAUGUGACCUUACUGAGAGAUGCCAAUUGGUGUAAGUGCCUCUCCUUCUUCCCAGAACAGCAACACAUUUUCCACAGCAAUGUUAAACACAUUACACAAUCGUUUCCUCGUCAUACAGAGUCAUUUCAACUUGCUGCCGUUUGCCAGUUCAUUUUUAUGUACUGACAAUAUCAAUUCAAGAGGGAAAAUGUUUUCAUAUUAUGUUAAUGAUUCUGAAAUUCAUCUUGUGUAUAUUUAUGCAAACUAUAAAGUGUACAGUAAGUCUCAAACCAAUACAUAGAUGUGUCAUAAAAUGUAUGUAUAGUAUAGGCUUUUCACAACUCAAAAUUCUUAGGGGUGUUAUAUAUAUUAAUAGCUGUUUUUGUCUUAUAAUAAUUGACUCAAAUGUGGUUCAUAAACCUCAGAGGUGUAACCACAGCGUGUCCCUGUACGCCUCACCUGAAACAGAAUGGAACAUUCCAACUGGAAAACAAUUCAUGCUCACGCAAACAUACACACAACAGUUUCAUGUAAUUAUGAUAAUUACAAGUGUAGUUUUUUCUUUUUUUUAGAGGAACACAAAGAUAUUUAGAUUUUUUUUUUUUUUACGUUUUGUCCAUACAGGAAAAAUCAAAGUCAUUGGCUUUGUGUGUGAAACAUUCUUCAUAAUAUCUUCUUUUGUGUUCCGUAAAAAGUUUGGAUCACAAUGAAGGGAGAGAAAAUGAUGAUCUUUCAUUUGUCAGGGGAACUGUCCCUUUAAAGGUUUUACGGUGAAAAACAUGCUUGCUUAUUAAAGUACUACUAAUAAAAGUAGUUCAAAAGCUUGAGGUCGGAUGUUUUUAAUGAUUUGAAAGAAAGCAAGGAUGUAUUUAUUUGAUCCAAAACACAGUAAAAAUAGUAAUACUGUGAAAUAUAAUUAUGUUAACUGUUUUCUAUUUUAAAGGGGUCAUAUAAUGCCACUUUUACAAGAUGUAAAAUAAGUCUCUGAUGUCCCCAGAGUGUGUAUGUAAAGUUUUAUCUCAAAAUCAUUUUUUAUAGCAUGUUAAAUUUGUCACUUUUUAAGGGGAAGCAAAAACACUGCAUUUUUGUGUGUGUCCCUUUAAAUGCAAAUGAGCUGCUGCUCUCAAAAGGGGGCGGAGUUUCAAGAGCUUGUGUUACCACUUAGCAGCUCUGAUUAACUUUAUCUCACUGAAAAUGUCAGUAACUGUUCAGUCUUUUACGUUCAAAACGGAGUCGGACACUGAUGGAGAGACUCAAGAAGAAGUGACAACAUGCAGAAUGAAACAGGACGUUUCUGAACGGCUUAAUUUCACAGACGUGCACGAGGGGGAGUCGUCUAAUUUAACUCAUUAAUGCCGUGUCAGCAGCCUUGCCGCAAAAUCCUUCCCCGCACUGUCUCCAGGUGCCAAAGAAAACGACAACAACACGAGGCCACGUGAGCCAGACUGACGCCCGGACUCCAGCUCCCCGAACGCUCUUCAGGACUCACACGCAGGACCUACUUCCUGGAGAUAACGGAGCAAAACGUCUAAAAUAGAAAGAUAUGCCUCACUCUCGCUCUCUGUCUAUCGCUCCAUCUCUUUCUCACUCUCUCUCCCCAUCCACUUUUAAUCAUUGGCUAUUCAAAGAUGAAAAGCCUUUCUGAAAGGGAAAAUUUUAUCCAAGUACUCCACAUAUGGCUUUUCUCUCUCCAAGAGUACGAACAUGUCCUCAGAAACAAAAAUGCCUUGUUUGACGUUCUAAAAAGAAAGAUAGAGGUUGAUUUAAGGUCAAGCUGACAACAAAUGGACAAAUCCUUUGGGACUAAAGAGUGGUUAGAUCAAACUGGAAGUAUAAAAUGGUUCUCUCUCACAAAA